rnacentral:rRNA from 1 species
GAUGAACGCUGGCGGUAUGCUUAACACAUGCAAGUCGAACGGACUCUUCGGAGUUAGUGGCGGACGGGUGAGUAACGCGUGAGAAUCUGGCUUUGGGUUCGGGACAACCACUGGAAACGGUGGCUAAUACCGGAUGUGCCGAGAGGUAAAAGAGAAAUUGCCUGAAGAUGAGCUCGCGUCUGAUUAGCUAGUUGGUGAGGUAAAGGCUCACCAAGGCAGCGAUCAGUAGCUGGUCUGAGAGGAAGACCAGCCACACGGGGACUGAGACACGGCCCAGACUCCUACGGGAGGCAGCAGUGGGAAAUUGUCCGCAAUGGGCGAAAGCCUGACAGCACAGUACCGCGUGAGGGAAGAAGGCUCGUGGGUUGUAAACCUCUUGUCUGAGGGAAGAACAAAAUGACGGUACCUGAGGAAUCAGCAUCGGCUAACUCCGUG